AGAGUUUGAUCCUGGCUCGGGAUGAACGCUGGCGGCGUGCUUAACACAUGCAAGUCGAACGAAGAUGCCGGAGUGCUUGCACUUUGGCAGACUGAGUGGCGGACGGGUGAGUAACGCGUGGGUAACCUGCCUUAUACAGGGGGAUAACAGUUGGAAACGACUGCUAAUACCGCAUAAGCGCACGGUAUCGCAUGAUACAGUGUGAAAAACUCCGGUGGUAUAAGAUGGACCCGCGUCUGAUUAGCUUGUGGUGAGGUAACGGCCACCAAGGCGACGAUCGGUAGCCGGCCUGAGAGGGUGAACGGCCACAUUGGGACUGAGACACGGCCCAAACUCCGUACGGGAGCA
rnacentral:rRNA from 1 species